CCAAAGUCAUUUCGAAGGCUUUUGCCUUGAGGGAUUUGCCCAUAACAAAGUGAGAAGAGAAAAGGAGAAAGAAAGAAAAGGAGAAAUAAAGAAAGUAAGAUAGGAGGACAAGGAAAAAAGAAAGGAAUGAUCGGCUUAGUGAACCCGAGACAAGGACGGUAAAGAGAUUUUCAUUUUUGCUUGAAAUGCAUGCUUUGUAAAUCAAUUGUAAUGUAUGAUUUUGUUUGUGGUCGCAAGAAUCUACAAGGAUUCAAGGGACCUGAGGCAUGCAUGUAGGUAGAUCUUGGAAUACAUGGUGAUUUUGGAGCUAAAUAAGAAAUGGCAAAGGUGACCUUAGAUGUGAGGAAGUUGUGAAUCAUAUAUGGAAAUUCAAGCUUAAACCGAGAGAUAAGUAAUCGGUUCAAGUGCAUCGCUCAGUACAUCGAGACUAGCUGCAACGUAGGUAAUGGCAUCUUUUAAACUUCUACUCCAAGUCUCUCUGUUGCAUAGAGGUCGUGUUGCAUCAAAUAGUUAGACUUAUAAAG